rnacentral:other from 1 species
ACGGUUAUAAAUCAACAUAUUGAUUUAUAAGCAUGGAAAUCCCCUGAGUGAAACAACGAAUUGCUGUGUGUAGUCUUUGCCCAUCUCCCACGGUGGGCUUUUUUUUAU